rnacentral:rRNA from 1 species
CAGCACCCCAAGUGGUCAGGAUGAUUAUUGGGCCUAAAGCAUCCGUAGCCGGCUCUGUAAGUUUUCGGUUAAAUCUGUACGCUCAACGUACAGGCUGCCGGGAAUACUGCAGCGCUAGGGAGUGGGAGAGGUAGACGGUACUCGGUAGGAAGGGGUAAAAUCCUUUGAUCUAUUGAUGACCACCUGUGGCGAAGGCGGUCUACCAGAACACGUCCGACGGUGAGGGAUGAAAGCUGGGGGAGCAAACCGGAUUAGAUACCCGCGUAGUCC